UUUUUGUUUUCAUCCUCCUACCAUUGCAAGCACUUAAAAAUACAACCUGGAGAAGUGGCAUUUUUCUUUCAGAAAAUGAAUUGACCCCCAGAUGGCCAUGGAGGUAGCCAGGUGGCCAAGAAUUUCAGUUAAAGAAAACUCCAUUUGCUUUCCAUCCAAGAUGAUGGUGCAUUUUCCAGAUUCUAAAAGUAUACUGUGGAAAAUCUGAAAAAUGCAGGAAAGAAAAAUCACUACAAUCAAUCAUUCAGAAAUGACUCUUCAAGCAUUUUCUCGCCAUCUCUUUAAUGUACACAUGUAAAUCUACAUAGAAAUGCGCGGGCAAAAUUGGAUCAUGCUGGAUACGGUUUUCUGCAUUGUUUUUCCACCUAACAUGAUGAUGUGUGCUU